GCUAAUUCUAUGUUUAAUUUGGCAAGCUGCCUUCUAACACAUCUCUUUCUCUGUCUUUAGGUUUCUCUGUCUCUGUCUUGUCUUUCUCCCUGUGAUUCCCCACCCCCUCCAUUCUCUCUGUCUCUCUAGGAGAAUUAUCACAAGAAAGUCAUGGUGGAAUGUAGGAGAGAUAAGAUUGCUUUUCACACCCCUUGACUGGUUCUGAACUCUAAGUGAAGCUUCACUUAGAGCACAGCCCAAUGGAUAAUCGGGUCACAAAAGGUACAAGACAACCUGGCAGUUGGUGCUAAUGGAGUGCCUUACUUCCCCUCCACAUGGUUUUCCAUCCCCCUAAAGGCUUCCUUACAAGGUAGGUUCAAGGCAAUUUUUCAACAGAACAAACAACAGAAACUACAAGGGUUCUAAAGGCCUAGACUUAAGGUCAAACAACAUCAUAUCUGCUGUAUAAUAUUAAACAAAGCAAGUCACAGGGCCAGGCAAGACUCAAGGCACAUA
rnacentral:lncRNA from 12 species